CUGAACAUGCACACACCAGCAGCAGCACACUAUUGAACUUACUCUCGGACGGGCUCCUUUCUCGGCGUGACGACUUUCGUGGAACCUAAUACUUUGAUUGCCGAUAGCAAUUUCCACAUCGGCCAUCUUGAGGCACGCUGCGAGUUUCAAUGGAACACUGGGGAGAAAGAACUCGCAGACACUCAAAACGAGACAAAACAAAAUAGCACCAGGGAACUUUUCUCGUCGUAAUUCAACUAACGACCGCUAGGUGGAACUGACAACUCUAAAAUAAUUGCACGAAUCAUAUCCGCCGAAUUGCGACGAAUCCGACGACCAAUCGGCUCAAGAUCGUUGUAACAUUUGGUAAAGACUUUAUCUAUGGCUGCUAGCGCUUCUUCUUUCGUGACGUCUGGACGGA